AACAUGCCUCAUUUCUUGCAGCUUCUGUCUUUGUUUUCCGCCGCUCAACUCUUUAUCCGCCAUCAAGUGCUUACCUACGCGACGAAACUUAUCCUCCGAGCAGCUUCGUUCUUUCCGCUUGCAUACCCCGGAUCGCACUAGCAAUCGCUUCAUCAACCUCCGAUUACAUCGAGUUACAUCAACACCACCUCCCAAAUCCUUGCUCGACGACCACUACCGAAACAAACACCGAGCUAUCUACACAAUCCAGAAGAGAAAAAUGGCAGUAGAGAGAAAAUCUCAAACAAACUGAUACCAGAAUCAAAUCUUUCAGAGCUGAAAGGAACUUUCAUCAAUCAAUAUUCUAACUCAUCUGCUCUAGAAUCUCGAAAUAUCAAGAGGGUUUUGAAGAAAACCUCACUGGCGUACGAACGACGCUCUCCUGAAGAACAGCUUUGUGUCGGUGACGAAAAAAUUCUCAUCAGAAGUAACUGAUUCUAAGAGAUUCAUGAACAAAAGCGACAAAAGAUAAGUAUCUCACUCCUGAUACUCUUUAUUUUGAUCGCAAUCUUCAAGUUUUUAACAGGAAGACGAUUUAAAGAAAUCUAGGGUUUGUAAAUAAAAACCUAAAAUCUGUUUCCCAUAUUGAUAAUUUGAUUCAUUUCUUAAUUAGAUUACAGAUCUAUAAUCUAUUCAUCUUAAUCUAUCUUCUGAGAGAAAAAAUCUCACAAAACUUCAGACAAUUUUUCAUGAGUUCUUGAUGAAAUAUUGAUCAAACUUUUGAUCUAUUAUCUUGAUUAAAAAUCGAUCUCUAGAUUCGUAUUCAGUAUCUUUGGGUUUACAUUACCCAUAUAAUCAAUUUCAUUUUCAUGAAAUUUUAUUUUCGGAUCUUAUAUUGAACUUAUGACUGUUCUUAUGAAGUUUAAUGAUUUUAAAUCAGACUAUAUUGACUAUUGAGCUGUUUAAUAAAGUUACACUGAGAUAAACGUGCUUUUAAUAGCAAGAAUUUGUAAUCUAAUUCUGUUAAUGACUCUUUAAAAAUUGUUUUUAACAGUACCACCAUUAAUGGGGGAGUUGUUAUGUCAAAAAGGCAACAGAGGUGAAUUCUCCAAAGAGCAACUAUUGCAAACUCAUCAAGCUUUACAGUUACGGAAUCAAAAUACAGAGCUGCAGAGUCUCAAGUAGACAAGGCAUAAAUGAACAAGAUCAACACAUACUGGAGCUAUAUCAAGUUUAAACACAAUCUGGUUGUGAAUGAUGAAGAGUUACAGCACCCAAAGCUUCUAUGAAAGAGGCCGACAAGUCGUACAAAAACAUCCAAAUGAUGUGAACAACAUCAACUCCAAAGAUCGUGAAUAAAGCUAAGUGCACAUCUAUCUCAAUCUUGAAUUAUCCUUUAAUGCUUGUUUAUAAAUGCAAAUCUGUGAAAUUCACUUAAUAUGUUUAAACUAAAAAUCUUGCUCGAAAGUUGUAGCUGACUCAUAGUGUCAAUCCCUAACUAAGAUCUUUUAGAGCCUGUGAGUUUAAAUUCGUCUAGACUGAUCUGAUGCAUUGGUAUAGCUUACAAUAAAUCUGUUGAGCAUCGUAUAAAGCUCCUCAUAAGCAUGAUAGUUUAAUGACCUGUUCUGCAUACAAAAAGAGCAUGAAUUGCUUGUUGACAUGAAUGAUUUUGAACAUUCCUGAGUUUGAAUAAUUCAUAUAGAAACAACUCUUAAGGAGCAUAAAAUGAUUAUCCUCUAUCAGAUACGCCUGAUAAGGUAAAAUCCUCGAUUAAUUUUCUAGCAUUUCAAUUUUCUAUGAAUAUUAUUGUGUAAUAGUCAGCUUAGUAAUGUACAAUAUCUCAAAUAUUGUAGACCUGUGAGUAGCACAAACAAAAUGUACUUGCUUGAAAUUAUCUGUGUACAACCUUUUGAGCUUUCAAUCUCAGAAACCUAAGGGAUCUGACUGUCAUUGCAAAGUUGUAAGGAGCUUGGAACAACUGUGCACCGCUUAACGUCACAGCAACACCCUUCAUCCAUAGCUGACUGCCCAAAAUGCUUCUGCCCUGCUAUCCGACUCAUCAAAGACUAAGAGUUGUCCGGAGUUAUCACUUGAGGAAUCGCACUUCAACUCCAACCGCCGCUUAUCAAUGGCCAGCGUAAAGCUCAUCAUCAACAUUCAAAUGCAUCAACGCUACUUUUUCCCAUCCCCGCUCUUGCCUACAGGACCAUGGAUAGCACACUGAAAGGGGACUAAACUUAUCUCUCUAUGCUUAAUCGCUUUAAUAAUUUCUUUUUGACUUACUCCAUGGCUUGCAUCACACUUUGACAGACGCAUGCAUGUCAUAAUCCUUUAUAUUUAACAAGUAAUACUAAUCAUAUACUACCAUGAAUCCUUUAAGCUUGCCAAGCUGUCAAUCAGCAAAUUCCCGCGUCUUUCAUUAUGUUAUUCCGGACAUGUUCAAACUUCAUUUUGAUUGAACUAACUCUAGUAGCCUGGUUUAAUGUGUCAGGAAGAGAGAUGUGAUAUGAAGCAGUAAAGUUCAAAAGGGGAAAUAACAGCCUCUGUUGGAUGUUAACUUAAGCUACAGCAAGCCUAUGUUUCAAAGUAAGCUUCAGCAGAAAUCUACAUACUCUUUUGUCACUUAAAGAAGAGCGCUCAGCUCCAACCACCGUGCACCGAUGAUGGCAAAUACAAGCAACUUCAAAUAUGUAAGAUCGAGGGACUAAUGCAAAUAGGCGAGCUCUAGCCCCAACUGCAGCAGUAAAAGCUCAAAGGAAAUCAUGGCAAAGCCAUUUCUCUGCUGCAAUACAGGUACGAGAUGAACUCUCAAAGAACAACACUCAACCUCAGAACCAUCUGUGAACGGAUACUGAAUCACAAUAAACACACCAAGAGGUCAAUUGCCUGAACUCCACAGUUCUCUAGCACCAGUUUUGUCUACCAGCUGACGAGAAUUAUCCGCCAAACACUGGCAAAUUCCCACAAGGCUAGCUCUAGUCGAGCAUUAGCAACUUGUUAUGCCAUGUCUCCUGUCACUCAAUGAAGAGCGCUCCGGCCCAACUGCCGCGUAUCAAUGACCAGUCACCAUCCCCAAUAGAACUGGAAGCGAGUAGCAGCUAACAAACAUGGAUAGCACACUCUACAGCAAGCCUUGGUGUAAAUAGAAAGUGUGCUUCACAAUAGCCGACAACUGCCUGGUACCCCUGAAAAUCGAUGGUACUGCUAAUGUUCCUCAUUUCACCAAAAGCCUUUCUCAGAGAGAAGAAAAUCAACAUCAAACCGAUGAAGCUGAUUACACUCCCACAGUGCAUAGUUGACUACUCAAACUACUGCUGCUUCAUCAACCGCGGCUGUCCUAACAAGAUCAGAGUUAACAAUCAUCAUAGCCAUGGGUACUGUGAUCUCGUCAGUGCUACUCGACUGCACCAACUUCAGUCGGUGAGAAUUAUAAAUUCGAAGGGCGAUUAGGAUAAAGAAGAGCAUCUUCGGCUAGCUGUCACAACAGAGCUGCUAAGAGGAAACAAUUAGAUGAGCGCGUCACAUGUGCUUAAUGUCAAACACCAUAGAGAAGAACUUAACCACCCACAAGUACAAUGACUUUAGCCCACAUGUCCGGAUGUGUUUGUUUAGCAUGAAAAACAUUUAUGGGAGACCUUGUCCCAUCUCAUGUAUGUAGUGUAUUAAACCAAGGAGUGUCAGGGAUAGCGCCUAUUUGUGCAUUUAUACUUGAGUUCCAUAAAGCCCGUAUAUGUUAUCCAAUCGCAUGUGUGAACUACAUACAUAGAAUAUACAUAGAAUACAUGUGUCAUAUUGUAUUGAACUUUAGAAAUUUUAAAUAUGAUCAUACUAUGAAUUGAGAAUA